AGUCUUUGUAUCACCUCCCUGAAGUCUACCUUGGCCAACCUGUUUAUAAUUGCAAACCACUCCCCAGGCUUAGCACUCCCCAUUCUUUCCCUGGGUUUCUUUUUUUCCUUUAUGCACUUCUCACCAUCUUUAUACUAAUCUGCUUUUUGUGUCUGUUGUCUGUCUCCUUCAAUGGGCAUGGAAACUAGACUAUAAUAACGACUUAAGUAUUUGUUUAAUGAAUAAAGCACAGAGGGUAAUAACUUGUCAAGUCACAGACCCAUCCAAUGGAGGGGCCCUGUAUUAAACCUAAGCAGCCUGGCUUCAGAGUCUGGGCUCUUAAUGACAAUGCUAGGACCAGAACACUCACUAAACUGCUCUCCUUUGUGUGUCUCUUAUGUGAAGGAAAUCCCUUUUUUUUUCUCUCUUUUCAUGAUCAAGUCUGAUGAUUUGAAGAAGAGAAGAGAGCCUCACAUCUCCACUUUAAGGAAAAUUCUGUUUGAAGAUUUCCGGUCCUGGCUUUCUGAUAUUUCUAAAAUUGACCUGGAAUCAACCAUUGACAUGUCCUGUGCUAAAUAUGAAUUCACUGAUGCCCUGCUGUGCCAUGAUGAUGAGCU
rnacentral:sRNA from 1 species